rnacentral:rRNA from 1 species
UACGAAGGGUGCGAGCGUUAUUCGGAAUCACUGGGCGUAAAGGGUGCGUAGACGGUAUGUUAAGUUUGUUGUUAAAGGCUCCGGCCUAACUGGAGUAUUGCGAUGAAAACUGGCAAACUAGAGGGUGAGAGAGAGAAGUGGAAUUCCCGGAGUAGCGGUAAAAUGCGUGGAUCUCGGGAGGAACACCAAUGGCGAAGGCAGCUUCUUGGCUCAUUCCUGACGUUGAGGCACGAAAGCGUGGGGAGCAAACAGG